rnacentral:tRNA from 1 species
CUGGGUGUGGCGCAGUUGGUAGCGCGCGCGGUUCGGGACUGCGAGGUCGUCAGUUCAAGUCUGAUCACCCAGACCA